CGGUGGAUGAUGUGGAUUAAUUCGAUGCAACGCGAAAAACCUUACCUACCCUUGACAUGUACGGAAUCCUGCUGAGAGGUGGGAGUGCUCGAAAGAGAACCGUAACACAGGUGCUGCAUGGCUGUCGUCAGCUCGUGUCGUGAGAUGUUGGGUUAAGUCCCGCAACGAGCGCAACCCUUGUCCUUAGUUGCUACGCAAGAGCACUCUAGGGAGACUGCCGGUGACAAACCGGAGGAAGGUGGGGAUGACGUCAAGUCCUCAUGGCCCUUAUGGGUAGGGCUUCACACGUCAUACAAUGGUCGGUACAGAGGGCUGCCAAACCGCGAGGUGGAGCUAACCCCAGAAAACCGAUCGUAGUCCGGAUCGCAGUCUGCAACUCGACUGCGUGAAGCUGGAAUCGCUAGUAAUCGCGGAUCAGCAUGUCGCGGUGAAUACGUUCCCGGGUCUUGUACACACCGCCCGUCACACCAUGGGAGUGGGUUUUGCCAGAAGUAGGUAGCCUAACCGUAAGGAGGGCGCUUACCA
rnacentral:rRNA from 1 species